CAAUAGCGUAUAUUAAAGUUGUUGCGGUUAAAAAGCUCGUAGUUGGAUUUCUGCCGAGGACGACCGGUCCGCCCUCUGGGUGAGUAUCUGGCUUGGCCGUGGCAUCUUCUUGGAGAACGUAGCUGCACUUGACUGUGUGGUGCGGUAUCCAGGACUUUACUUGAAAAAGUUAGAGUGUUCAAAGCAGGCAAUCGCUUGAAUACAUUAGCAUGGAAUAAUAGAAUAGGACUUUGGUUCUAUUUUAGUUUGGUUUGCUAGGACCGAAGUAAUGAUUAAUAGGGACAGUUGGGGCGAUUAGUAUUUCAUUGUCAGAGGUGAAAUUCUCAGACCAACGGAAGACGAACCACUGCGAAAGCAUUUGCCAGGGAU
rnacentral:rRNA from 1 species